UCCCAGGUAGCUCAGAUGAUAAAGAAUCUGCCUGCAAUGCAGAAGACCUGGAUUCGAUCCCUGGGUUGGGAA
rfam:TPA: Bos taurus chromosome 20, whole genome shotgun sequence.